CAUUCCCAGAAGUACAACAGUGUGAUGGGGCUGUUAUCACUUAGACCAGCUAGAGGGUGGUUUCUGAUCUAGCUCCAAAUGCCGUCCAUCUAAACCUGCAGAAAUUAACCUCUGCAUCUUUUGAGAUGUAUUCAAAUCUACAGGCCUGAAAAGAUGCCCUGCGUUUCCCCAUAUGUCAGAGUAGUGAGGUCAGCAUGAAUUCCAAGUCCUGAAGCCACAGAGCUGAAGUGCAAACUUGGAGCUUGGGCUGUGGAUUGUUUCAGUGAUUCUACUAAGUCUGGCUUACAAGGGUAUUACUUUAAUCUACCAAUGACUUCCUUGCAUAUACAUGUAAUAAUAUACAUCAUCCUGAGUUCCUGGUCAUGCAUACGGCUGCUCAGCUAUGCACAGCCACCUUAUCAGUCAGGCUUCGGUGGUGGUGACUCUGUUGAAAAAAUGGAAGCAAUGAUAAGGAAAAGGCAGUAGAAACUGGAAAUGCUGUUUGCUGCAAACAGUGCCCCAGCUGAGUCCAGGCCAGACUGGACCUGAGCGCACUGAAGGAUAAGGGUCUGACUUCUUUUCCACCUGGUUCUCUGGUGUUUCUGCAUUGCCGGCCAGGGUUGGUGAUCAGCACCUGGACGUGCAGCUAUGGCUGUAAUUCACAGAUGUUAUCUGAGUGCAAUGGAAUAAGGGGCAGAGCCAGGUUCGAAGUGGAUGCCGUGGCUGAACAUCACGGCUCACUCAGCCGCCCAACAGAGACCAUCUGGAUCCGGUUCUGUUCAUCCACCUGAGUUGGAAAACUCUGCCACAAGGAUGACGCCGGGCAGUGUGCAGGUAGUUCAGAGCUGCCGGGGGCUGCAGUGCUCCUCGUGGUCACUAAAGCUGUGAAGGUAAAGCAGCGGUUGCUGAGCUGUGCCCUGGAGACUGACAGCUUCCAGCAUUCCCAGCUGCUCCGUGCUGUGCAGUGCAUGGGCUGUUUGCAGCACACUUGGUUUGCUCCAUCAGAGCACCACUCUGCCCACUGCACCGACUGAUGAACGCGUAAAUCAAAAGUGCAGUUCAAGAAAAACCUUCUGCUCUACCAGACUUGUCUGCAGCAGAAAAAGGAGGCCCGUGUGGGUCAGUGCAGUGUGCCUUCCGAUGUGGGAGAGCUGGGCCCAGCGCAGCCUCGGGCUGCAGCUCCAGACCCACACUGACAGCACUGAGCACUGCCCACACAGCCACGAGGAAUUGUUCUGUCUGACACUUCCCCGAAUGGAAAACCUAAUUCAGCCAACGCAGCACUGAGACUGUGACAGGAAAUUUCCUCCACGAUCUUUCAGGGACCGCAGAACUCUGCUGCAGUCCCAAAAAUGGCACUUCGUAUUUCUGCAAAGCUGUGGAGCCCUGAUCCUCACAGCCCUAUCCGGUGACAAAUCUGUGCCACUCACAUGGAUUUUCCCCUGCAUCUUUCCAGCGUGCGUUUGCUUUUAUGCCUCAGGAAACAGAAAGUCUCCCAUCCUGGUUUCCACCUCCCAUCAGUCAUGCAUGUCUGGUGUUGCCUCCAGGAUCUGAGUGGGGGCUGCCGUACACAGUGUACUUUGCAGCUCGGUUUGAGAGCCCUACCAGGAACCACGCUCAGAACAACAGGAAGCUCUUCCACCCUCCCUCCCCCACCCCCUUUUUUCUGUUCCUCUGCUGCAGAAACUUUCUGAUGCUCAGAUCACAGCCGUCUCUGCAGGGUUAACUGCAGCAUUUGUCACUGGAAAAAAAAGAGAAAAGAAAAAAAGAGACCCUUUAAAAGCAGAUGGUGGGUGAUAGGGAACCUGUCUGAGAGUAAAUAUCUACAGCAGCAUGUCUGCUUCAUCAGAUAUUAGCAUCAAAAGCCGUCUGACGAUUUAGCAACAAACAGCAAUAUUGAUUUUCUUCCAAACCGCAGACAUGGAAGGAACCACAGAGUUGGUUCCUUCAUAGCACCCCGUCACAGCUGGGCAAACAGUGAGGCAGGAGCCGGGCAGUGCCUCCCAGGGCUGGAGGCGAUGCAGGAACACCGGGAUGCUCCUGUUCAGCAGCAGUGUGUGCCACACAGAGCAGCACUGCGCCGGGGCCGGGCUGCUGCCACUGCAGCAAACAGGAGCUGCUGGGUGGGCUGUGAAGGAGCCAGGAGGUGCAGCUCACUUCUCUGGCUGUUUUCAGACACAUUAAUUAAUUGCUACAACACAGACCGGCAGUAAUAGCUGCCACUCCACCUGUGCCGCCCUCAGCAGCCAGCCUGACUUUUUAGACCCUGGCAAUCUGGAAGAAUUCCACCAGAGAACUGAGAUGCAAUGUUUUUUCCCUUUGUUCUCUGUCCUACUAACUCCAUUUUCAUCCGUUGGUGGAAAGGGUUGCUCACGGCCAGCAGCCAGGUCCUGGGAGCACUUUGUGAUGACAAAUGUUUGGUAUUUUCACUUCUGUGGAGAACAGCGUCCUUAUUUUCUGAUUUGAACUCACCACGACUGUUGGUCUCACAUCAGUUAUGUACACUUCUCCCCUGUCUCUCGCUCUGAAAUGCCAGUGAAUCUGGGAAUUUUUGCUCAGAGAUGUGGGGAGCUAACAGGGAUUUCUGGCACAGCCCACAGCGUUCACAGCUACCAAAGCAUCAGCAGAACAGCACAGAGACAUGCGGGCACUGGGACGCACUGAGGUCCAUCUGCUGCUCAUGAAGAGGUAUUCAGAGGGUCACUGCUAAAGCCGGGGCACAAUGGGACAGUUCAAUCUUCUCUUCGUGAGCACUCACACGGCCGUGCCCAGCCCUGGCCAUGGGCACAUCCCCAGUGCUCAGAAAGCAAGGCAGGAAAUAGAGAACAGCUCAUGAGCAAACUGAGAAAUGUGUUCCUGGCACAAACGGGCAGAGUUCCAUUAACUUUCAGUUCUGUGCACUGGGAAGAACUGAGCUGGAUAUCGACUCUGACCUAGUUGAUGUUCUUUACAGCAGCAUCACUGUAUUGUUAAAAUACUAUCUUAAGAGCCAAUUUUUGGUUGUUGUCUUCAUUUUUUUUUUCACCCUAGAGAAAACCGGUGGGGUAAACUUCUAUUAAAUGAAUGUGAAAAAUUGA
ensembl:lncRNA